AUACUGUUUUCAUGGAAGUGAAUAAGUCUCACAAGAUCUGAUGGUUUUAUAAGAGGAAACCCCUUUUGCUUGGCUCCAAUUCUUCUCCAUGCUUCCCCAUGUAAGAUGUGCCUUUCACCUUCUGCCAUGAUUAUGAGGCCUCCCGAGCCACGUGGAACUAGCUGGAACACCCUUCUUCUCCUGCCUUUGGACAUCAGAACUUCAGAUUCUCUGGCCUUCAGACUUCAAGACUUGCACUAGUGGCCCCCUGGGUUCUCAAGGUUUUGGCCGCCUCGGUUGAGAGUUACACCAUCGGCUUCUUUGGUUCUGAGGCCGUUGGAGUUGGACUGAGCCAUGCUACCAGCUUCCCUGGGUCUCCAGCCUGCAGAUUGCCUACUGUGAGAUUUAGCCUCCAUAAUCACGUAACAGAAUAUUGGCAUGUAGCACUCCUCAAAACAUAGAAAGCAGAAACAAAUCAAUUCUGCCUGGAGGACCUCCCCGAUCUCAACACCCAGUGGUUUUGACAGAAUUGAUAUAGAAAUAGAAGCUUCAAGCUUCCACCGAGGUGGGAAGGGCAGGUGUCACGAUGCCAUUUCAGAGGCAGCAACCACCAAGACAUGGCAGUGGUCUUCAUGCACCUUCUAUGGUAUCGGGCUUUGUGGCAAGUGCUUUUGUUACCUUAGCUGAUUUCAUCCCUGCAACAACCCUGGAGCAACCUUACGAUGGAGGCAGAAGAAGGAUUCUAUGGUUGGAAACCUGCCAGACUCACAGGCUACGGAGAAGAAAGGCUAAAUCCACCAGACUGUUGGAUGCACCUAAAACAAAUUGCCCUCCGUGGCUUGGUUUCUUAUUAAUAUACUCAUAGAAAUGCACAAGAACUGAAAGCUCGAUAGGGAAACCAAAAAAUAAAAAUUAAAAAAAAAAAGCUGUAAACCAAUGUUUCUUAAAACAUGCUCUGCAGAACACUCGUUUGGUGGAACGUAAAGUGUUCUUUCAUAUUAAAGGAGUUGCGUGUUAA
ensembl:lncRNA novel transcript